AUGGGCCAAUCGGGCAAGGAGCAGUGUUGUUCUUCGCUAACAAAGCAUGAAGAUAGGCUCAGCAUGCUGACUGAUGACAUAUUAUUAUCUAUCUUGGGGAGAGUUGACACAGCCACGGCAACACGGACUAGCGUGUUGUCAAAGCGGUGGAGAGAUUUGCCAUGGUUGCUUCCUGUCCUCAACCUUCGUGUCUGGAAUUUUCUGCCGCAUCCAUGCCCGGAACCCAUUGGAGCACAUCACAUGGAUCAAGCAAUGUCACGUCUAACCAAAGCAACUAGGAGUUUCUUGGCUGAUCCAAACAGCAAAUCCACCAUCAUCAAAAGGCUAAGCCUUCAGCUCUAUGUGACCGGCGAUUACACUCGUGAGAUUGGCCCACUGGCUCGCGAUGCGAUUGAUUGCGGGGUAGUAAAAAAACUGUGCCUUGCAAUUGUUGAUGAGAAGGAUCCUAGAGACUGUGAACAUGAGUAUAUGCUACAGCAAGCCCUGGCCGUCGAUGGGUUUUUUACAGCCUAUCCUAGUGUGUUUCAGUGCCUCACAAAGCUCUGUCUGUAUAAUGUGCGGUUUGCUGAGUGGGAUAUGCAACACCUCCUGUUUGACUCCUGCAAGCAACUCAACCAAUUAUCUCUGUCCCACUGUGAUGUUGGGGACUCUUCAGUAUGGCAGAUAAAUGCACCAGAUUCCAAACUCAGAAUCCUUGAGGUCCGCAUGUCCUGCUUGAAGAGAAUUGAGGUGCUCUGCCCACCAAAACUGAAGCAUCUAUGUUGGGACGAGUGGUUUUGUUUUGAGGCCCCCUUGCGUUUUGGUUCUGUUCCAUCCCUCAAGGGGCUGGGCCUUAUUUGUGGUGCGACCAUUGAUCAUCAGGAGUUUAGUCUAAGCCAGGUUCUACAUGGUACCAGAAACAUCCAUGCUCUUACUUUGGAUUUCGAAGGAGAAAGGCUUUGGAUACAACCCGAAGGAAAGCAACUCUGCCAUGCAUUCAAACAGCUAAGGAAGCUGUCUAUUUGUGGCAUCUUUGUCGAUUUUGACCUGUUAUGGACAAUAAAUCUCCUUGAAGCUGCUCCAUCCGUUGAGAUAUUUUCUGUGCGGAUAUGGGACCAUGCUUGCCAGGAUGAUGAGCAGUUAAGAACAAGAACAGGUUACGAGGCUCAAAGAACGAAACCGUCAUGGAGCAUGCCCAAGUUCACAAGCUCUGAAACUUGGCAACUGAGAGAGCUUGAAAUUGUUGGCUUUAGGCCCCAAGAGCUACAAAUUUCAUUUUUAAGGUCCGUCAUGGAGCGAGCUUCAAACUUGAAGAUGGUUCUUCUCAAAGAAGAUAAAGAACCAUGCGACGCUUGCGAUUCAAUGAACACUCCAAGAGGAGGUUUCUGUCCGGCGAACAAAGGUGAGCAGGAAGCAAUCGUCAAGCAGCUUACAGAUGGGGUCGGGUCCUCUGCGCGGAUAAUUUUUCCAAACAGUGGUGGUAGUUGA
rnacentral:rRNA from 1 species